rnacentral:piRNA from 1 species
UGACAGGCACCUUGCUUAUAUUGGAAGG